GUGCUCGUUUUGGCAGCACAUAUACUAAAAUUGGAACGAUACAGAGAAGAAUAGGAGAGCUCAUGUGUAAGGAUGGCGUGCAAAUUUAUGAAGCAUUCCGUUUUUUU